CCUACGGGUGGCAGCAGUGAGGAAUAUUGGUCAAUGGCCGGAAGGCUGAACCAGCCAUGCCGCGUGAAGGUCAGUGCCCUAUGGGCGUUAAACUUCUUUUGUGCGGGAGCAAUAAUGGUCACGUGUGGCCAGACGAGAGUACCGUACGAAUAAGCAUCGGCUUACUCCGUGCCAGCAGCCGCGGUAAUACGGGGGAUGCAAGGGUUCUCCGGAUUGAUUGGGUUUAAAGGGUGCGUAGGCCGUGAGGUAAGUCAGCUGGUGAAUGUCCCCGCGCAACGGGGUGAAGUGCCAUUGAUACUGCCUUGCUGGAAUGCGGAUGCAGUGGGAGGAAUGUGUGGUGUAGCGGUGAAAUGCAUAGAUAUCACACAGAACACCGAUUGCGAAGGCAUCUCACGAAUCCGCGAUUGACGCUGAUGCACGAAAGCGUGGGUAUCAAACAGGAUUAGAUACCCGGGUAGUC
rnacentral:rRNA from 1 species